AUGACGGUGGUGCUUGCACCACCUGAUUAGUGGCGAACGGGUGAGUAACACGUGAGUAACCUGCCCCCCACUUCGGGAUAACCUCGGGAAAUCGUGGCUAAUACCGGAUACGAGCACUCAUCGCAUGGUGAGUGCUGGAAAGAUUUAUCGGUGGGGGAUGGACUCGCGGCCUAUCAGUUUGUUGGUGAGGUGAUGGCUCACCAAGACGAUGACGGGUAGCCGGCCUGAGAGGGCGACCGGCCACACUGGGACUGAGACACGGCCCAGACUCCUACGGGAGGCAGCAGUGGGGAAUAUUGCACAAUGGGCGAAAGCCUGAUGCAGCGACGCCGCGUGGGGGAUGACGGCCUUCGGGUUGUAAACCCCUUUCAGUAGGGAAGAAGCGAGAGUGACGGUACCUGCAGAAGAAGCGCCGGCUAACUACGUGCCAGCAGCCGCGGUAAU
rnacentral:rRNA from 1 species